UACAGAGGGUGCUAGCGUUGUUCGGAAUCAUUGGGCGUAAAGGGCGUGUAGGCGGUUUGUUAAGUCAUGUGUGAAAUCCCUCGGCUCAACCGGGGAAGGACGCAUGAAACUGGCAAGCUAGAGUACCAAAGAGGGGGGUGGAAUUCCCGGUGUAGCGGUGAAAUGCGCAGAUAUGAGGAGGAACACCAAGUUGGCGAAGGCGCUUCGCUGGGACGUUGACUGAACGUG
rnacentral:rRNA from 1 species